UAAAAUAUAAUUUAAAUAAAAAUAUUCAAUUUCGACUUGAGAAAUAUUCUAUAUGAAUUAUUUUUA
rnacentral:tRNA from 1 species